rnacentral:rRNA from 1 species
GCAAGGGGAGCGGCAGACGGGUGAGUAACGCGUGGGAAUCUACCCAUCCCUACGGAACAACUCCGGGAAACUGGAGCUAAUACCGUAUACGCCCUUUGGGGGAAAGAUUUAUCGGGGAUGGAUGAGCCCGCGUUGGAUUAGCUAGUUGGUGGGGUAAAGGCCUACCAAGGCGACGAUCCAUAGCUGGUCUGAGAGGAUGAUCAGCCACAUUGGGACUGAGACACGGCCCAAACUCCUACGGGAGGCAGCAGUGGGGAAUAUUGGACAAUGGGCGCAAGCCUGAUCCAGCCAUGCCGCGUGAGUGAUGAAGGCCUUAGGGUUGUAAAGCUCUUUCACCGGAGAAGAUAAUGACGGUAUCCGGAGAAGAAGCCCCGGCUAACUUCGUGCCAGCAGCCGCGGUAAUACGAAGGGGGCUAGCGUUGUUCGGAAUUACUGGGCGUAAAGCGCACGUAGGCGGAUAUUUAAGUCAGGGGUGAAAUCCCAGAGCUCAACUCUGGAACUGCCUUUGAUACUGGGUAUCUUGAGUAUGGAAGAGGUUAGUGGAAUUGCGAGUGUAGAGGUGAAAUUCGUAGAUAUUCGCAGGAACACCAGUGGCGAAGGCGGCUGACUGGUCCAUAACUGACGCUGAGG